UGGUUACGUCAGUGAUGAACCAGGGCAUGCAUGUCUUUAGAUUAGGUUUGGACAGGAGCAUAGAACAGAGAACAUAUAUCUCAUCAAAUACUCUUAAAUUCAUAUCAAACAAAUAUAUAUUUUUUUAGCAUUUAAUCAAAUUAAUCAUUUUAGGUUCAAGGAAUCAGAACAGCCCAUGCCUAGGAAGCAUGCACAGGGUACCAAGAUGCCUUUUCGCAGGUAAUCUUCAUGAAUUUCGGUCGUCUAUUCUCUUAGCCAAUUCGAUUUGCAGAGGCCAUGUGGAAAGGUCGAGGUUUUGGGUCUGUGACAAAAUUUCCACGAUCACAGAUUUUGUCAGCUACCCAUGAAAGUUUAGGCAGCCGUUCGAGCCUUCCAUUCCAGGCACAACAUGCCCCACAUUGCCAGCAGAUGUAAACAAUGACAUAGCACCCACCAUGGCUCAUCUAGCCACCCCAAUUGCUGUUAUACCUUCUGUGAGUGUAUAGCAAGUCUCCUAUAUAUUCAUGCCGCAUUCAUAUUUUUAUGCAGUAUUAACUUCUAAACUUGUCCUUCUGUUCCUUUUGGUCUCACAAAAUAUAAUGAAGAAGAUCAACUUGAUACUAAGGAAAUGCAAGAGUUUGUCUAGGCAACUAGGGAGAUCCUCAUCUUAUAGUAGCCUAAGGUCUAAAUCAACAAGGGAAGAUUUAUGGGGUGAUCACAAGCAAGAAGAUGAAAAUCAUGAAACAAUAUUUGUUGGAAGCACAAGAAAGAGGUAUGUCAUCAGCUCCAAGUACCUGAGCCAUCCUCUGGUGAAUGCUCUCAUUGAGAAGUCAAGGCAAAAACCAGGAGAGGAUAAUAUUUUGGUGGUUAAAUGUGAGGUGGUCUUUUUUGACCACCUUUUAUGGAUGCUUGAACAUGCUGAUCCAAAUGCUAGUUUUGAUUCUUUGGAAGAAUUAGUUGAUCUCUACAUGUUCUAAAUCAAUGAAGCUCUCUCUCUCUCUCUCUCUCUCUCUGCCCCUCCAUGCAUGCACUGAUGAUGCUGUUUGAUCCAGCCAAGGACAAGAUCAAUGUUCAUGUAAGCAGCAUGUUGUGUCAGCAAGAUCUCAAUUCAAAGUGGGAAUGCAUUGAAUUCAUAUUUUCUCAUAAUUAAUGCACUAAUUAAAACAAUUCUUAAUUGUCGAAUUUCUGUUCUAACUAUUUGUCUCUGUUGGAUAUAGUUUAUGAUAAAUUUUUAGUCAUGGUGAUUUUUGUUGUUUUUAUUUCAUUAUUCUUGAUCCUUGCUUAUAAAU